rnacentral:tRNA from 1 species
GGUGGCUCAGUGGUAGAGUGCUUGCCUUGCAUGCAUGAGGCCCUGGGUUCAUUGCCUCAGCACCA